UAGCAUUUCUUUGGUGAGAGAUUGGAAUGAUGACUUAUUUUAGACAGGGUUAGAGUUACAUAUAUAGAGAUUAGCCUUGUAUGGGGUUAGGAUUAAGCAUUGGGAUUGAGGUUUAAAUGUUACCUGGAUCAGUGGAUCAAUUGUCAAGUGUUACUGCAGCGAUCAGUAGGGUCUUUAUAUCUCCUGCUGUGAAUCAUCUAUGCCAUCCGUAAAUAACCAAGAAAUGUUUUGAAUGUUGAUGUGGAAGGAAAGUAAGGUACCAAGAAAACAAAUGAAAGAAACGUAAACCAGUAGAUUGACGUGGAUAAAGCGAUAGCCUAGUGCUACAUAUGUACACCAAAGGUCAAUACCUUCAGAACAGUUUUGCGAUUAGUUGAGGUCACUUAUUCAAGGAUCACAGAUGCCUUCCACCUAAGUCUAGUGUAGCGUGAUAUGGUGGCUCUCCGUGGCGGAUCGGCCUCUGGUCUCCACAGGAGCUUCUGAAGCAAGGUGCUGUUUCACUACGCGGCAGUUGAACUGUAUACAACGGAAACAAUAUGCUUAGUCCGGACGUUAGCAAGUAGCAACGUCCUCAGUGGCCUUGCAGAGUUUCAACUCAAACAUUUUCUACAUGAAGUCGCCUUGAUGAGGUCCAACGGUUGGCUCAUUCUCCUUUUGAAUCUUCAUUCUAACUUUUUUCUCAUCUCAACGCUGAUAGCCAAACUCACAAGACAAUGCAAUACCUCAUAGUUUUACUGGGGUUGUUUUUUUGGCCUGAGAUUCACCAUGGCUUGGUUUAACAAUGUUAAAUAAAUUGCCAGAAUCGAAGUGCUCAAAUAACAGAAGUAGAAGGCAGAACAUCUAUUGGAUCUGGAGGGGAUAUGUUACGAAUCAAUAAAGUUGUGAAGUGUAAUAUUUCAAAUAGCUUCUAGCGUGAAAUUAACUGGACAGUGAUUGAAAUAUUGUCCUAUAACUGAUAUAUUCUAUAAAUAAAAAGGAUGUCCUCUCUCUUUGUUUACAAGAAUCUUACCGUCAACCCUCCCAAAACCUCCCCCCCGCAUGCCACCAAGCCAGCCGAGCUAUGCUGGUACGCGUCACACCGUUUUUCAGUUCAUUGCUAUAAAAAUUCUGAAGGUCUUUGGCCUAACUGGAAGAGGCUAAAUCGAACACAUUGUGUCUUUAAAUUGAUUGAUUUAACAUAAUUACUGAUUUAAAAGGAUUUUUUAGUGGAAGGUUUGCUGAAUGGUAGCUAACAGAUGCUUCUUUGUACCCCUUGGCCACUUGCCCUAGUGGAGCGAGACCAUCAACUAGCCUAAUGAGAAGAUAUUCUCCUCCCCCCAACUCUUCAAAGUUGACUUCUGGUGAUUAAAGAAGUCUGUCACUGAAACAUGAAUUAAUCUAAUUUCAAUCUGAUUCCUGGGGAGAACAGGGCAGCUAUUACAUUUACAUCAGGUGUAAAAUAACCAUGGACAAAGGCCUCUCUGUCUGCCUCUUUGUUUGGACAGGUGUUUGGGUAUUGUAUAGAGACACACAAUCAGUCCACCUGGUCCGACCAGUCCAGUAACAAGUAUCUUUAUAAUAGCCUCUGCUUUAAAGGAUGUAUCAGCGAUGUUGGGUGACGUCACUUCUGUUGGUAUUUGAAGUGAGAUCCCAAACAAACCCUCUCCCAUCCGUGUUUCAUGUAUCCCGUAAAAAACAUGAUGAACGCAGCGCAAAACCCCACAACACCCACUCCUUGUCGGUGAUUGGUUGGAAUACUAUUAAUUUUGGUGUGAGUGGUUGGUAGUACCAUUUGUUUUUGUGUACGAUCUCGGAGCAUAGGUUGCUUACCGAGACGUGUUUUUUUGACGGCCUGCUCUUGGGGCGGGCAGGUAGCGGAUCACACUCAAGAUCAGAUGAUUGUGAUAAUUUUUGUUUUGGCCUAGAAUUGCUGAUACAACCUUUAAAGUUGCAGCCUUGUGGAACGGAAUUAGCAGAAAAGGAAUUUAAUAUAUAUUUAAAUUAGUGUAUAAUCCCAUGAAAAUUCAGUUGGUUGCAAUCUGCAACAUUACCACUAGAGGCCACUCAAUUCUACACUCCGCACCUUUAAGUUUGUCUGCCUGGACACUCAAAUUUUAUUUUUUUCAGAAGUGCUUUCAUAUCGCAGCCAUAGUUCUCCUGGUUCAGCUUUGUGUGUGUGUGUGUGUGUGUGUGUGUGUGUGUGUGUGUGUGUGUGUGUGUGUGUGUGUGUGUGUCAUCUGUUAAUCUAUGAUCUUUGAAUACCACGGGCCUUACCAUGUCAACCUUGUGUUUUAAGUUUUUAAAUUGGAAAGUAGAAGAUGUUUGUAUUACUAUAGGGAAUGUGUCGUAAUUUAUAGUAGUUCUUGACCAAUUUAUUGGUAGGAUAUAACGGUUCUCCAGUUCUACCUCCAGAAGACAGGGGGCGACAUUUCUUACUCUUUUGCCCCCAUCUACACUAACACACACCUGUGUAACCAUUCAAUUUGCCUUUAUUCAACUCUCCAACAAAGUCUGUGAAAUUGUUGCUGUUCAUAACAAAUAAAGUGGGAUAAAAUAAAACUUU